rfam:Diplodia seriata DS_831_scaffold_v01_633, whole genome shotgun sequence.
AACAGGCUAAUUUGCGCAAGAGUGUACAAAAUGAGUGCGCGGUUUGGCACCUCGAUGUCGGCUUAACUUAUCCUCCGGGAUGCAGGACCUCGGUAGGGUACGACUGUUCGUCGAUUAAAAAG